rnacentral:rRNA from 1 species
UACAGAGGUCUCAAGCGUUGUUCGGAUUCAUUGGGCGUAAAGGGUGCGUAGGCGGCGCGGUAAGUCGGAUGUGAAAUCUCGGAGCUUAACUUCGAAACUGCAUUCGAUACUGCCGUGCUUGAGGACUGGAGAGGAGACUGGAAUUCACGGUGUAGCAGUGAAAAUGCGUAGAGAUCGUGAGGAAGACCAGUGGCGAAGGCGGGUCGCUGGGACGUGACUGACGCUGAGACGCGAAAGCGUGGGGGAGCAAACAGG